rnacentral:rRNA from 1 species
GACGAACGCUGGCGGCGUGCCUAAUACAUGCAAGUUGAGCGAUGAAGAUUGGUGCUUGCACCAAUUUGAAGAGCAGCGAACGGGUGAGUAACGCGUGGGGAAUCUGCCUUUGAGCGGGGGACAACAUUUGGAAACGAAUGCUAAUACCGCAUAACAACUUUAAACAUAAGUUUUAAGUUUGAAAGAUGCAAUUGCAUCACUCAAAGAUGAUCCCGCGUUGUAUUAGCUAGUUGGUGAGGUAAAGGCUCACCAAGGCGAUGAUACAUAGCCGACCUGAGAGGGUGAUCGGCCACAUUGGGACUGGGACACGGCCCAAACUCCUACGGGAGGCAGCAGUAGGGAAUCUUCGGCCAUGGACGAAAGUCUGACCGAGCAACGCCGCGUGAGUGAAGAAGGGUUUCGGAUCGUAAAACUCUGUUGGUAGAGAAGAACGUUGGUGAGAGUGGAAAGCUCAUCAAGUGACGGUAACUACCCAGAAAGGGACGGCUAACUACGUG